rnacentral:rRNA from 1 species
AGUCGUAACAAGGUUUCCGUAGGUGAACCUGCGGAAGGAUCAUUAAUAGAGUACCUUUAUAGUGGAGGCAACUCGGGCAGUUGGUAGACGGUGGUAUCUCCCGCAAGGUCGAGGUCGCCGUCCCGAAAUGUGCUGUCUUAGACGCCGAAGCUGUGCUGGUUUUAACCACUCAUACCCUUUGUUUAUUUACCUUUGUUGCUUUGGCGAGCCGCCUUCGGGCACCAGCUUCGGUUGGCUAGCGUUCGUCAGGGGACCACAACUCUUUUUAUUAGUGAUGUCUGAGUACUAUAUAAUAGUUAAAACUUUCAACAACGGAUCUCUUGGUUCUGGCAUCGAUGAAGAACGCAGCGAAAUGCGAUAAGUAAUGUGAAUUGCAGAAUUCAGUGAGUCAUCGAAUCUUUGAACGCACAUUGCGCCCUCUGGUAUUCCGGAGGGCAUGCCUGUUCGAGCGUCAUUUUAACCACUCAAGCUUGCUUGGUGUUGGGGUUCGCUAUCUUAGCGGUCCUUAAAACUAGUGGCGGCGCCAUCUGGCUUCAAGCGUAGUAAUUUCUCUCGCUAUGAGGUCUGGUGGUGUCUUGCCAGCAACCCCAAACUUUUACAAGGUUGACCUCGGAUCAGGUAGGGAUACCCGCUGAACUUAAGCAUAUCAAUAAGCGGAGGAAAAGAAACCAACAGGGAUUACCUCAGUAACGGCGAGUGAAGCGGUAACAGCUCAAAUUUGAAAUCUGCCUACAGGCCGAGUUGUAAUUUGUAGAAGAUGCUUCGGGUGCGGUCCGGUCUAAGUUCCUUGGAACAGGACGUCAUAGAGGGUGAGAAUCCCGUAUGUGACUGGGCGCCAAACCUAUGUGAAGCUCUUUCGACGAGUCGAGUUGUUUGGGAAUGCAGCUCUAAAUGGGAGGUAUAUUUCUUCUAAAGCUAAAUAUUGGCCAGAGACCGAUAGCGCACAAGUAGAGUGAUCGAAAGAUGAAAAGCACUUUGGAAAGAGAGUUAAACAGUACGUGAAAUUGUUGAAAGGGAAGCGCUUGCAACCAGACUUGCGCGCCGUCGAACAUCCGGGGUUCUCUCCGGUGCACUCGGCGGUGUUCAGGCCAGCAUCGGUUCUGGUGGUUGGUUAAAGACCUUAGGAAUGUGGCCCUUUUCGGGGGGUGUUAUAGCCUUCGGUGACAUGCAGCCUACCGGGACCGAGGACCGCGCUUCGGCUAGGAUGCUGGCGUAAUGGUUGUAAGCGACC